rnacentral:lncRNA from 1 species
ACAAUUCCAAACAAAAGGUUAAUAACCUUAAGGAGACUGUUUUCUAGGCAUUCUGUUUUAUAUAUACAUUAUACUAACCAUGGAGAUAUAACUAGGUAGUUCAUUAAACUACAUAUUUUUUUAAAUUUCUCUUGUUAGGUAUGCCAUUGAGGCAGAUGAAUUCAGACAUGCUCCAGGCUUGGGGAAAUUUGGAACUAGUAACUAUUAAAAUGACAAGCAACUUGCCAGACGGAGUCAAUGAAAUCAACCAUUUUCCUAAACUGAAAAUGUAGUGCACAGAUUAAAAUAAUGAGUCUCAGCUACUGCAUUGACUGUAAGAGAUCGGAGUUCACACUGAAAGGAGGGCCCCAUGCAUGUUGCAAAAAUUCCUUUUCAUCACACUGGGAGAAUAUGUACGUUGCAAAGAACUGAAAAUAGAGGGGGCUGACCUGGACUAUAUGGCUAAAAUUCCCAGGGUGAAUUCUGGGAUACAGAAAGUCCUAGAGUGAGGUUAACAGGCUGUAAAAAAAGAACAUUUCCCAGUCCUGCUGCUGUGGAACUGGACACAAGAAGAAACACAACUGGAUAUCCUGCUCCUUGAAGGUACGAAUGAUAGAUUGGGGGACAGCUUGGCUACUACCCACCCCUCAAAGACUCUGCAUGGGACAGAGGGUUAGUCAGAUGCUUCCUGAAGAUGCUGAGAGAGAGGCUGAUUGUCACUGGGUCCCCAAGAUGACAAGGUCCAUUUCCUGGUGGAUGAAUAUCCACACCACAAACACCAUCAUCACAACCGGCUCUACCUUGCUUGAGAGAGAUUAA